rnacentral:misc_RNA from 1 species
AACGCACCUUGCACCCUUUGGUAUUCCGAAGGGUACACCCGUUUGAGUGUCAUUGUAAUCUCACCAUUCAACUUUUGUUGACAUGUGUGGACUUGGAUGCUGCCGUAUUGCAAUGGCUCAUCUGAAAUGUCUGAGUACAUCCUGGAUUGUGAUGUGUUCGGUGUAAUAAAUUUUCACUGUACUUGACCUAUGGUCACACUCACUUGACUGUGGCUCUGUGCUUCCAACUGUCCUAUUCAGACAACUUUUGACAAUUUGACCUCAAAUCGGGUGGGACUACCCGCUGAACUUAA